GGCCUCCCAAUUUCUUACCACAGGCUGUGUUCUUUACACUGACUGUAUAGAAAGAGGAGGUACAGUAAGUGCACCCCAUAUACACCUCAACACAGGCCCUUUGCCUGGUCUGAGUUGUGAAUUGGGGGACAAAA